rnacentral:lncRNA from 1 species
CCAGGGCUGCUGUCCCAUCCCGAAGUGUGGGUUGUGAUGACUCGGGCUGGUUUUGUCUUUGUGGAUCUUGAGGGCUUCACUCCAGUCCAAGCCUGGAAUUCCUGUCUGGAACAGAGAACACGGUCACAAGCUUGCACAGGGUCAGCCACCCCUUUACCGACUCCCCAGGGGCUGCUGCUCUGCCCCAUGCACGGCCCUGCCAAUUGCUGAAACCCUCGGCUCCAGGCAGUCCUCAUCAUCUUCCCAAAGACAGAACUGGCAAGGCAAGUGCACUCCCGUGCAGGCCCAGCUCCAGGAGAAAGGUGUGUGGCUGCCUGGCCCCUCACCUCAGCGAUCCACUGGGAAAUCUGGGCUCACCCCGGUCCCUAAGGAAGUAGGAGAGGAAGCUUAUUCUCACACUGCAGGCGAGCGGCAGGGUCAGGGCAGAGCUCAGUUAGCACCUGGGUCUCAUUCAGAACGCAACAGCACCUGGCACUGCUGGGUCUUGGAGACGAGCAGCCCCGGUGCUAUACCUGCACCCCCUGCGAUUCUCCCACACCUGCCCCUCCAGAGCCAGGCUGCUUCAAGAGACCCAGGUCAUGGUGACUGCUUAUGCCUGAAGAGGAAAUGCCCUCAGCACCGGGCACAGCCCUGGCUUGCCAGACCCGCUUAAGACUGAAAAGAAAAAUAAGGCUCAGAACUUUUAGUUUUUUAUACUUUGUCUCAUUAACUCAUGCAGAAGAAUGGAUCGCAGUGACCAUCUCAAAAGACUCCAAGGUGGCCUGGCCUUUGCACAGCUCUGUGCAUGGUGGAGGGAGUGGAUCAUGCGCUGUUGCUGAGCCUGUGGCGGGGAGGGUGGUGUGAUGGGGGAAGGCGGGCCCUGGAGGGAGAGGAUGAGGCUGGCACCGCUAGCUCCAUGUACCGGGAGCAGCUUUCUCCAUGAAAAGACAGUGCUUCCAUUUCUCUGAACAAAAGGGACCUCCUUUAAUUCUACCCACUCCUCUGCAAGAUGGGGAGCUCAGAAGGCAGAAGUCCCUGUGUCCCAGGAGCACCUGGCCAAGGUGGAAGUGUCCAGCUAGCUGGGCCUGGCACCCACGUGUGCGGAGUUGCUCCUGCCCAGGCUGGACACUGCCGGGGUUGGGCUUCAGGCCCUGAGGUCAACAAAGCUGCCUUUCUCCUUGGCAGCUGCAAAGCUGGGGCACCACUGGGCAGGCUGCGUGGGCAGGGAAUGGCUGUGUCCAUGGCCAGCACUGGGGUGCCAGGAGGAGAGCUAGGCCGGGGCCCCGUCAGGUAAUUUUCACUCCCGAAGCCGCGAGCUUCUGAAGACCAGCUGCCCAAACCAUAUGCUGCUCUGUUCCUCCUGCGGAAGCAGGUCCUCCCCUGGGCGCGCCCUUCUGUCCCCAAAACACUUCACAUGCCCACGCUGAGCCUUGGGCCUGGCAUCCUGAGCCCGCUGCCCUGAGGUGGCUGCAGGGGUCUCAGAGCAGGAAGCCACCAGAGCCACAGACGACAGCAAUCCUGGCGGCCGCCAGAGGAGGAACCCGGGGCUGGAGCCCAGAUGGGAGAGGGGACCUUAAAGAUGGAAUGGGCAGGACCCGGUGACUGCCUGGAGAGAAAGAAAACAGACUCAUGGCUCAGGCCAAGAUUAGUAAGAAAUACAGGCCUCCCUGCCUGCUGUGCCCCCAUACAGUGCUCAAGCAUGUUCCGGCAUCAGCCCCGGACAGAGGAUUGGGAGGCCUGGGUUCUCAGCCCAACAUGGCUUCAGACACAUUCCUCAACUUCCCUGAGCCUCAGUUUCUUCUGAAAAGUGGGGCUGCUGACCCAUGUGCCUGAGGCUGUUGUGAGUCUUCGUUUCGGGCACUCAGUAAAGUGGGGCCAAGUCUUGUGGAACUUGAAUAUCAGCCCUUUAACUGCCCCACCUAGGCAGGAAGGAGGGAAGCAACCAGGGAGCAAGGACUGCCUUCCAGAAGUGGGCGGGGCUAGCAACUGGGCCAAAGAUGCCCAAUGGCCCAGAGAGAAUUCAGAGGGGGCCUGUCAGGUGGAAGGAGCCAGGCUGGAUGUGGGUAGGACCUGCUGUGCCCAUGUGGCCAGGCAGGCAAGGCAGAUCAACUCACGUGCAGACCAGAAGCCAGCAAGGCAGGUCCUGCAGGGGUGAAGAAGCUGAGGCCCGGGGAUCCUGGGUACUCCCUCAAGAACCUUGAGUUAGGAGUGGCCUCACAUCUUCAGGAUUCCUGGCUCUGUUCGUUUCCUUGGCUUUCUGAAUUUCUUAAGUUUGCUUAGAUGAUGUACAUCUUACAAGACAAGGCUGGAGGGAGUGGCUUGUAUCAGGUCCCAGAGCUGGAAGGUGGGGGUCCCAGAGGCCCACUGGCAUGGCGCUGGGAGGGUCAAGUUCAACAGUGAUCCUGUGUUUCUGCCCGAAUUGGGGGCAGGGGUCCAGGCAGCCAAGCUCUUGCUAUUCCUGCUUUUCGGAUGAAGAAAGGGUCAGAGAGGCUGACCCAGCCAGGCGCGGUGGCUUAACGCCUGUAAUCUCAGCACUUUGGGAGGGCAAGGCGGGCAGAUCAUGAGGUCAAGAGAACGAGACCAUCCUGGCCAACAUGGUGAAACCCCGUCUCUACUAAAAAUACAAAAAUUAGGCCAGGCACAGUGGCUCAUGCCUGUAAUCCCAGCACUUCAGGAGGCUGGGGCGGGCGGAUCACGAGAUCAGGAGAUCGAGACCAUCCUGGCUAACACGGUGAAACCCCGUCUCUAGUAAAAAAAAAAAAUACAUAAAAAUUAGCCAGGCAUGGUGGCGGGCGCCUGUAGUCCCAGCUACUCGGGAGGCUGAGGCAGGAGAAUGGCGUGAACCCGGGAGGCGGAGGUUGCAGUGAGCCAAGGUUGCGCCACUGCACUCCAGCUUGGGCAACAAAGCAAGACUCCAUCUCAAAUAAAUAAAUAAAUAAUACAAAAUAAAAAUACAAAAAUUAGCUGGGUGUGGUGGUGGGCGCCUGUAGUCCCAGCUACUCUGGAGGCUGAGGCAGGAGAAUCGCUUGAACCCGGGAGGCGGAGGUUGCAGUGAGCCGAGAUGGCGCCACUGCACUCCAGCCUGGUGACAGAGUGAGACUCCGUCUCAAAAAAAAAAAAAAGAAAAAAAGAGAGGCUGACCCACCUGAAUUUACACACCAGGAGGUAAGAACCCCAACAAGCCCCGACUCCUGUCUGUCAAGGCUUUUCCACAGCUGGCCUCAGGACACAGUUCAAGAAAGCAAGUGACUCCAAGGAGGCAGCUCUUAAGGGAUGAAAACCCAUGGGGGCUACAAAUUUGAUCUCUGGGGCAAGUCACACGGGUUCCACUCCCUUCUCUGCCAUUCAGAGCUGUGCCAGCCACUCAGUUUCCUUGUCUGUAGAAUGGGGACGGCAAGCACUACACGAAGGCUGCAGGGGGCUAACCUCAGGGAGUGCUGAGCCUGGUGUGCGUUAAAGCAGAGAAGGCGACAGCUAGUACCUUCACCGUCACCAGAGCUGGGAGGGCCCGGCAGGACAUUCACUCACCA